AGUGGAAUUGCCAGGUCCUGUGGUAACUGUUUUACUAUUUAAGAAAUCUCCAAACUGUUUUCCAAAGUAGCGGUACCAUCGUACAAUCCCACCAGCAAU
rnacentral:pre_miRNA from 1 species